rnacentral:rRNA from 1 species
UACGAAGGAUCCAAGCGUUAUCCGGAUUUAUUGGGUUUAAAGGGUGCGUAGGCGGCCUGUUAAGUCAGGGGUGAAAGACGGUAGCUCAACUAUCGCAGUGCCCUUGAUACUGAUGGGCUUGAAUGGACUAGAGGUAGGCGGAAUGAGACAAGUAGCGGUGAAAUGCAUAGAUAUGUCUCAGAACACCGAUUGCGAAGGCAGCUUACUAUGGUCUUAUUGACGCUGAGGCACGAAAGCGUGGGGAUCAAACAGG